AUUGAACGCUGGGGGCAUGCCUUACACAUGCAAGUCGAACGGCAGCACGGGGCAACCUGGUGGCGAGUGGCGAACGGGUGAGUAAUGCAUCGGAACGUGCCAUUGAGUGGGGGAUAACGUAGCGAAAGUUGCGCUAAUACCGCAUAUUCUGUGAGCAGGAAAGCAGGGGACCGCAAGGCCUUGCGCUCUUUGAGCAACCGAUGUCAGAUUAGCUAGUUGGUGAGGUAACGGCUUACCAAGGCGACGAUCUGUAGCGGGUCUGAGAGGAUGAUCCGCCACACUGAACUGAGACACGGUCCAGACUCCUACGGGAGGCAGCAGUGGGGAAUUUUGGACAAUGGGCGCAAGCCUGAU
rnacentral:rRNA from 1 species